CAUGCGUCUGAUUAGUUAGCUGGUGAGGUAACGGCUCACCAAGACCAUGAUCAGUAGGGGUUCUGAGAGGAAGGUCCCCCACCCUGGCACUGAGAUACGGGCCAGACUCCUACGGUAGGAAUCAGUCAGGAAUAUUGG
rnacentral:rRNA from 1 species